rnacentral:rRNA from 1 species
GGGGAAUAUUGGACAAUGGGGGAAACCCUGAUCCAGCGAUGCCGCGUGAGUGAAGAAGGCCUUCGGGUUGUAAAGCUCUUUUAGUAGGGAAGAUGAUGACGGUACCUACAGAAAAAGCACCGGCUAACUUCGUGCCAGCAGCCGCGGUAAUACGAAGGGUGCAAGCGUUGUUCGGAAUUACUGGGCGUAAAGCGUGCGUAGGCGGUUUGUUAAGUCAGACGUGAAAGCCCCGAGCUCAACUUGGGAAAUGCGUUUGAUACUGGCAGGCUAGAGUAUUGGAGAGGAGAGUGGAAUUCCUAGUGUAGAGGUGAAAUUCGUAGAUAUUAGGAAGAACACCAGUGGCGAAGGCGACUCUCUGGCCAAUUACUGACGCUGAGGUACGAAAGCGUGGGGAGCAAAC